UACGGGGGGAGCAAACGUUGUUCGGAAUCACUGGGCGUAAAGGGAGCGUAGGCGGCCAUGUAAGUGAGGUGUUAAAUCCCCCGGCUCAACCGGGGACCUGCACCUCAUACUGCACGGCUUGAGUACAUCAGAGGAGACUGGAAUUCCCGGUGUAGCGGUGAAAUGCGUAGAUAUCUGGAGGAACACCGGUGGCGAAGGCGGCAUCCUGGACCGGUAUUGACGCUGAGGAGCGAAAGCCAGGGGAGCAAACGGG
rnacentral:rRNA from 1 species